UCCUACGGGGAGGCAGCAGUAGGGAAUCUUCCGCAAUGGACGAAAGUCUGACGGAGCAACGCCGCGUGAGUGAUGAAGGUUUUCGGAUCGUAAAGCUCUGUUGUUAGGGAAGAACAAGUACCGUUCGAAUAGGGCGGUACCUUGACGGUACCUAACCAGAAAGCCACGGCUAACUACGUGCCAGCAGCCGCGGUAAUACGUAGGUGGCAAGCGUUGUCCGGAAUUAUUGGGCGUAAAGGGCUCGCAGGCGGUUUCUUAAGUCUGAUGUGAAAGCCCCCGGCUCAACCGGGGAGGGUCAUUGGAAACUGGGGAACUUGAGUGCAGAAGAGGAGAGUGGAAUUCCACGUGUAGCGGUGAAAUGCGUAGAGAUGUGGAGGAACACCAGUGGCGAAGGCGACUCUCUGGUCUGUAACUGACGCUGAGGAGCGAAAGCGUGGGGAGCGAACAGGAUUAGAUACCCUGGUAGUCCACGCCGUAAACGAUGAGUGCUAAGUGUUAGGGGGUUUCCGCCCCUUAGUGCUGCAGCUAACGCAUUAAGCACUCCGCCUGGGGAGUACGGUCGCAAGACUGAAACUCAAAGGAAUUGACGGA
rnacentral:rRNA from 1 species